CUGUACAGUUCAGAGUUUGAUCCUGGCUCAGGAUGAACGCUGGCGGCGUGUUUAACACAUGCAAGUCGAGCGAGAAGUUUCUCAGUAGAUUCUUCGGAUGACACAGAGUUACGGAAAGCGGCGGACGGGUGAGUAACGCGUAGGCAACCUGCCCUCUGCAGAGGGAUAGCCUCGGGAAACCGGGAUUAAAACCUCAUAAUGCGCGACCGGGACAUCCCGGAUGCGCCAAAGAUUUAUCGGCAGAGGAUGGGCCUGCGUCUGAUUAGUUAGUUGGUGGGGUAACGGCCUACCAAGGCGACGAUCAGUAGCCGACCUGAGAGGGUGAUCGGCCACAUUGGAACUGAGACACGGUCCAA
rnacentral:rRNA from 1 species